UAACACAGCUGUGUUCCUGAAAGGGCCUGG
rnacentral:piRNA from 1 species